rnacentral:rRNA from 1 species
CUUGAACGCUGGCGGCAGGCUUAACACAUGCAAGUCGAGCGAGCGGCGGACGGGUGAGUAAUGUCUGGGAAACUGCCUGAUGGAGGGGGAUAACUACUUUAAACGGUAGCUAAUACCGCAUACCAUCAGAUGUGCCCAGAUGGGAUUAGCUGGUAGGUGGGGUAAUGGCUCACCUAGGCGACGAUCCCUAGCUGGUCUGAGAGGAUGACCAGCCACACUGGAACUGAUACGCGGUCCAGACUCCUACGGUAGGCAGCAGUGGGGAAUAUUGGACAAUGGGCGAAAGCCGGAUGCAGCAAUGCCGCGUGUGGGAAGAGGGCCUUCGGGUUGUAAAGCACUUUCAGCGAGGAGGCGUUACUCGCAGAAGAAGCACCGGCUAACUCCGUGCCAGCAGCCGCGGUAAUAC